rnacentral:lncRNA from 1 species
CACCUGGCUGCAAUCAAGGGUUGCCAACACAAGAGUGGAACUGCUAGUAAAAGCCCUAGUGGGUGCUACUGCUGUGAGCUACAUUUAGAAGACUCCUGUCCCAGCAGCCACAAACAGCUUUACAGGGAUUAGGUGUUAGUAUAACGGAUGUCAUGGUGCUUAGCGAGUACCACUUCCUCCUGAUUGGGCUCACACUGAGGCUCGGACCCAGGACCUCUGCUUUACUAGCACAUGUGACCUCCCUCCCGAAGCGUCUUGCCAGUUGCCACAUGCGAAAAGCUAGCUAUUCGGCGGCGCAAUUAGGGACACUUCAGGCUGGGGCUUCACACAUCCCCAUGUGCUACAUCAGCUCCCCUGCAUAGGAGAAGACUGUGUGGGGUAAGAGGGAGCCCCCCUGCAUAGGAGAAGACUGUGUGGGGUAAGAGGGAGCUCCCCCUGCAUAGGAGAAGACUGUGUGGGGUAAGAGGGAGCUCCCCCUGCAUAGGAGAAGACUGUGUGGGGUAAGAGGGAGCUCCCCCUGCAUAGGAGAAGACUGUGUGUGGUAAGAGGGAGCUCCCCCUGCAUAGGAGAAGACUGUGUGGGGUAAGAGGGAGCUCCCCCUGCAUAGGAGAAGACUGUGUGGGGUAAGAGGGAGCUCCCCCUGCAUAGGAGAAGACUGCGUGGGGUAAGAGGGAGCUCCCCUGCAUAGGAUAAGACUGCGUGGGGUAAGAGGGAGCUCCCCUGCAUAGGAAAGACUGCGUGGGGUAAGAGGGAGCUCCCCCUGCAUAGAAGACUGCGUGGGGUAAGAGGGAGCUCCCCUGCAUAGAAGACUGCGUGGGGUAAGAGGGAGCUCCCCUGCAUAGAAGACUGCGUGGGGUAAGAGGGAGCUCCCCUGCAUAGAAGACUGCGUGGGGUAAGAGGGAGCUCCCCUGCAUAGAAGACUGCGUGGGGUAAGAGGGAGCUCCCCUGCAUAGAAGACUGCGUGGGGUAAGAGGGAGCUCCCCUGCAUAGAAGACUGCGUGGGGUAAGAGGGAGCUCCCCUGCAUAGAAGACUGCAUGGGGUAAGAGGCAGCUCCUCUAGUUUCCCCCAAAGUUGUCGUUCCGAGAUGCAUUUUCCCGUUUGAGUUACUCCUUGUUUCAAAAAACAAAUAAAGCACAAUGCUUCUCCUCCAUGUGACCUACUUGUUGUGUGUAAUGUACUGACAUGUAUGUGGAACUGAUAGAUGCAUACACACACUACAUGUUUUUAAAUGUAUGUAAAGUAUUUUGUCUGUAAUGCCUUUUUUAAUAUGACUAGCUGUCGUCAUUGGUGUCGGCUAAUGGGGAUCCUAAUAAAUCAAAUUUAAAUUGUUAUUAAAGUAAAAUGUUUAUUGCUUAAACCCCUGUCUCUCAUGCUGUUGGACUACCACACACAUGUGACAAGCCCCUCCACCUGUGGGCAUGCCACACAGUAAGCCUUGUGCUGUCACAGGAGGUGUCUACCCUAAGAUCAGUGGUGGAAAAAGUACCCAGUUUUCAUACUAGUGUAAAAGAAAAUUACUCCCAGUAAAAGUGAAAGUCACCCA